rnacentral:lncRNA from 1 species
GCUUGCUCUUUAUGCAUCUGGGACCAUAAUUUUACCUUUCCAAAGUUUUGCCUUCUGAAUGGCUUCUCAAAACUUACAGGACCGUGAAUCAUACUCAGCUAAUUAGCCCCCACCAUGAAAUACUUUGCACGUCCCAGGUUCUCAUGGAGGAGCUGUUGCAUUUGGAAAAGUGAAGAGAAACCAGGGAUUAGAUUGGUUUCAAAGACUUCUUCUCCACGUGGGUUACCCCUGCUUCAGAGGCUCUUGUGACGCCCUCCUAUUACUUCACAUCCAGAUGGCCAUCACUGGGGAGGUGCGGCAACGUCACCUGCAGAAUCACUGUUUCUCUUGGUGGUUUCUCAUUCUCACGGCUGUGGAUCUGCCAGUUGUUUCUGAUGGUGUGGGCGCUGGUGCCCUUCAGAAAGGCCUCUCUGAUUGACAGGGGAAGCAAAUAAAAAUCAGGUGCAUCAGGAGCCUGGCAGCCAGUGCCCAGGCAUUGUGGUCAGCCAACCGAGAAGACUCGCUCCAAGUUUCCAGGAGGGGUUCAACCCAGCAGGAAACUGAGUCACAGAGAAGUUAACUAUCUUUCCCAAAGUCACACGGAUUUGGAAGAUCUCCGGUUCAUUCAGCUGCACUUCUUGUCAUGGGAUAUGGCAGCGCGUCUCAAACUUGCCUGGGAACCGGACGCAGAGAAGCCAGGAGCCGGAGCCCAGAUUUGGGCACAACUUCUCCCUAGGGGUCUGCUUGUUCAGACGAGGCGUCGAGGCAACUGUCUGCACAGUCGUCAUCGUAACUAGAAAGUAGCGGGGGUACUGGAACAGCUUCGUUGCUUUAGAAUAGGCCGUCUCGCCGUUCAUCAUAUUUGAGACUUCUGUGAAACUACAUCGUGUGGAAGUUGGUGGCCUUUUGAGAAAAAUGUAAUGGUAUUCACAUUUCUUCCUAUACCACUCGGGGAUUUUAAACAAUGGAGCAAGAAAAGAAGGCCAAGACUGUCUUCUUACUUAACACGUACCUGCUUACUUUUCAAGAGCUUUAAAACAAAAACCAAAUCACCCCACUGGAAGCCG